rnacentral:rRNA from 1 species
AACGCGAAGAACCUUACCCAGACUUGACAUGCACUGGACAGCCGCAGAAAUGUGGUCUCUCUUGGGAGCCGGUGCACAGGUGCUGCAUGGCUGUCGUCAGCUCGUGCCGUGAGGUGUUGGGUUAAAUCCCCCAACCAGCCCAACCCUUAUCGUUAGUUCCCAACAUUUUAGGUGGGAACUCUAACGAGACUGCCCGGGUUAACCAGGAGGAAAGGGGGGAUGACAUCAAGUCCCCAUGGCCCUUAUGUCUGGGGCUACACACGUGCUACAAUGGUCGGUACAAAGGGAGCGAAACCCCAAGGGGAAGCAAAUCCCUAAAGCCGGCCCCAGUUCAGAUUGUAGUCUGCAACUCCACUACAUGAAGACGGAAUUGCUAGUAAUGGCGUGUCAGCAGCAACGCCGUGAAUACGUUCCCGGGUCUUGUACACACCGA